rnacentral:rRNA from 1 species
AACGAACGCUGGCGGCAGGCCUAACACAUGCAAGUCGAACGAGAUCUUCGGAUCUAGUGGCGGACGGGUGAGUAACGCGUGGGAACGUGCCCUUCUCUACGGAAUAGUCCUGGGAAACUGGGUUUAAUACCGUAUACGCCUUCGGGAAGAAUUCGGAGGAUGCCGCGUGAUAGUAGUGUGGGUAUGCACAAGCGACGAUCAUAGCUGGUUUGAGAGGAUGAUCAGCCACACUGGGACUGAGACACGGCCCAGACUCCUACGGGAGGCAGCAGU